AACUGGCCUGUGUAAGCGGAUGGGCUCGGCCUCAAGGACAGGGUGCUCGGCUGAAAAAAAAGCUAGCGGCGAUCACCGGUGCCAGGGCUCUCCAGAAACGGAGCCCAUCUAACCAAUGCCCAGCACACUCGCUCUGCUCCACACACGAGACCACCUCCGACCCGCACUAAGUUGGCCAACUGCACUCUGGAGGCGGCGGCAGCCAGCGAGGGAGAAGGGAAAGGCUGUCCCGGGACCCCGAGGAGGACUGCCCCGCCCCCGGGAACCGGGUGCGGCGUAAAACAACCCCGGCUCCGGGCCGACCCUUCCUGGCCCCUUGGAGGCCCAGGCGGGGCGGCGGGGGGCGACGCGGCAGGGGUCUCCGCGCCCAGGCUCCCGCGGAGCGGCCACACGUGGAGGUUCCCACUUUGGGGUCGCGGCCGCAGCAGCACCGGGCGGGAUGCUGUCCGCGCUGCCCGCGUACGGCCGCGGCCUGAGUGGAGACGCCUGCCCCCAGCCCCGAGGCCUCGGCCCCCGUCCGCCCUCUCUCCCUGCUCGGCGGCCUCGUACUCACGCUGACUUCAUGGCAGCAGGCUCCACGCCGCCCAAACGCGCAUGCGGGACGGCUGGCUGGCGAAGACUGCGGGACGUUAGGACCGGCAGCAAGAACUAGAACUUCGCGGCUAAGGCGCGGUGCUCUGCGAAGCCGGCGGCGACGCUAAGAGCCCAGGUGAGCUCCCGCCUGGCGCAUUUCAAACGGGCCAAUCAGCGCCCGUCCGCAGGGAGAGGCAGGACCUCCGCGGAAGUGACUUCGCUGCCGGAAGUGGCGCUUGUCUCCUAGGCGACCGACGCUGAAAGGGCCGCGGAGUCGCGUGUCAGGGCUGGAGGGAGAUCUUGAGAAACUCCAUUUUGAUCUGUACUAAGAAAAAUCUUCUUAUUUAUUUUCUCAGUCUCUCGUCCCACCUGACGAGAAAUACCCACAGGUGUGGAGGGGCUGGCCCCCUUCACCUGGGUCUCGACUCCUGUUUUGUUCUGCGGUUCCCAUUGCAGUGCUGUGACCCCCCAGAAGCUCAGGAAAACAACUGACUUCCUGGUGUUGCCAACAGGCAGAGAGGAGAUGCAGCCAGUCCUUACCCUGUAGAAGAUGGGGAGGGAGUCCCAGGUGUACGGAUAAGCAAAGGCGAGGACACGAAUCACCUUACAGAGUCUGGGCUUCUGGAUUUCAAGAAACCUAAAUCAGGGAAGGAAAGUGGGGAGGAAAUGGAAUGAAAAGAGUCUCAGCAAAUUGCAUACGCACAUGCAUGCACACCGAGGGCCUGGUCAUCAACAGAGGACAAGCAUUUUUCUACAAGCUCCUGUGGCCAGCAGCUUCUCCACCAGCCUCGUCCAUUCCUCCCACCCCAAUGGAAGUGACAAAACUUCAGAUGCAAAAAGAUCUCCAGGGACACCAUCUCCUGACCAUGGGAAGCAGUGGUGUCCAGACUAAGCCAGAAAGGAGGCGCUGGGCAGAAACCCUUCAAGGGCCAAGUUAUGUAACUGCCAAAGAACCUUUUAAAACUCUAGUUGCUACAGGGACAGGGAACGGGUAGGGGGAAUCGGGGGAUCCACUGCCACAGACUCUUGGGGGGCACACUCUGCAGAGGCUGAGAUGCACCCAUCUAGUUGGAGCCCAGGUAUUAUCAUGCAGGAGACCUGGGUUCAAGUAGGUGUUUGACCCUUGGAGAGCUUUCUGGAAUAUUUAUACCACACACAGGGAUACUUGGCUUGGGAAAACUAAAUAAACGUGAAGUCUUUC
ensembl:lncRNA KIF23-AS1 KIF23 and PAQR5 antisense RNA 1